GGAUGCGAUCAUACCAGCACUAACGCACCGGAUCCCAUCAGAACUCCGAAGUUAAGCGUGCUUGGGCGAGAGUAGUACUAGGAUGGGUGACCCCCUGGGAAGUCCUCGUGUUGUAUCCC
rnacentral:rRNA from 1 species